rnacentral:rRNA from 1 species
CGGGUGAGUAACACGUAUCCAACCUGCCGUCUACUCUUGGACAGCCUUCUGAAAGGAAGAUUAAUACAAGAUGGCAUCAUGAGUCCGCAUGUUCACAUGAUUAAAGGUAUUCCGGUUAUCGAUGGGGAUGCGUUCCAUUAGGCAGUUGGUGAGGUAACGGCUCACCAAACCUUCGAUGGAUAGGGGUUCUGAGAGGAAGGUCCCCCACAUUGGAACUGAGACACGGUCCAA